UUUCUCUUAAAUGAACUCUCUUAACUGAAUUCUUAAGUGAAUUCUGCUGAUAGAACUGCUGUUAUCACCAAAACCCUGUGAUAUCAGAAGCUAUGGUACAGUAUCGCUACUUCCAUGCUAAAGCAUUUACAAAUUGAAGAUAAAUAACUGGUUAGGAAAGGAACACAAAACAUAACAAACAAACAAAAACCCGAACACAUAUGGAAUGAAGGUCUUACAAGAAAAAUUGCAUAGAUAUAAGAUGAACAGAACGCUCGCUUUCCUAACAAUGCCUUGUGCACAUCAGCUUGGGUGGCUUCAUAACUACCCAGGGUAGAAGAUGUAAAGCAGUCUCACACAUCUCCUAGGAGUGCCCUAAAGCAGAAUUGAGUACUAUCUGGCAUAUUUUCUGAACUUAUCCAAGACAGCAAUUGAAUGUAUCCAGGUGAAAAAGGUCAUAACCACUUCAACUGAGGUUUUUGUAUUCUCCUGGCAGCAACUUUCCCAUGCACUGAGUGGUUCUAGGGGUGAAUGCUGCAAAGGAGCCAAAGACCAUGAGGAGGACUCUGAACUCUUAACUUCAUCUUCCAAUUUCAAAAAGCUGGACAAAUGGCAAUGGAAAAGGAGCCCAGAAAACAAUUUGUUUAUUAUAAGCAGGUCAGUCCUCCGGGGAAUUCGUGGAAUCAUGCAGUGGGAGAGGACAAUCACGGCACUGAAAUGGGUCUGGAGGAUCUGACAUUAAGAACAUGGCAAUGACCAACAGAAAGAAGAAAGUACAACUGCUCCUGGGAUUUUCAAUCUUCUCAUUGAUAGAUCUUAUUAAAGAAUGCCUAAGAAUUUAUAUAUAUAUAUA
ensembl:lncRNA